CCCGCUGAACUUAAGCAUAUCAAUAAGCGGAGGAAAAGAAACUAACAAGGAUUCCCCUAGUAACUGCGAGUGAAGCGGGAAAAGCUCAAAUUUGAAAUCUGGCGGCUCUGCCGUCCGAGUUGUAUUCUGGAGAAGCGUUUUCCGUGCCGGACCGUGUACAAGUCCCUUGGAACAGGGCGUCAUAGAGGGUGAGAAUCCCGUCUUUGACACGGACCCCCGGCGCUAUGUGAUGCGCUCUCGAAGAGUCGAGUUGUUUGGGAAUGCAGCUCAAAAUGGGUGGUAAAUUCCAUCUAAAGCUAAAUAUUGGCGAGAGACCGAUAGCGAACAAGUACCGUGAGGGAAAGAUGAAAAGCACUUUGGAAAGAGAGUAAAACAGUACGUGAAAUUGUUGAAAGGGAAACGCUUGAAGUCAGUCGCGUCUGCCGGAACUCAGCCUUGCUUCUGCUUGGUGCACUUUCCGGUUUGACGGGCCAGCAUCGGUUUUGGGCGGCGGACACUGGCGAGGGGAAGGUGGCAGCUCCGGCUGUGUUAUAGCCCCUUGUCGCAAACGUCGCCUGGGACCGAGGAAUCCGGCGCAAGCCUGGGAUGCUGGCGUAAUGGUUCCAAGCGACCCGUCUUGAAACACGG
rnacentral:rRNA from 1 species